rnacentral:rRNA from 1 species
UUUCAGCAACGGAUCUCUUGGCUCUCGCAUCGAUGAAGAACGCAGCGAAAUGCGAUAAGUAAUGUGAAUUGCAGAAUUCAGUGAAUCAUGGAAUCUUUGAACGCACCUUGCGCCUCUUGGUAUUCCGAGAGGCAUGCCUGUUUGAGUGUCAUUAAAUUCUC